rnacentral:rRNA from 1 species
UACGUAGGGGGCAAGCGUUAUCCGGAUUUAUUGGGCGUAAAGAGCUCGUAGGCGGCCGUUCGCGUCGGAUGUGAAAGCUCAGGGCUCAACUCUGAGAUGCCAUUCGAUACGGGACGGCUAGAGGUAGGUAGGGGAGAGUGGAAUUCCUGGUGUAGCGGUGAAAUGCGCAGAUAUCAGGAAGAACACCCGUGGCGAAGGCGGCUCUCUGGGACGGUACUGACGCUGAGACGCGAAAGCGUGGGGAGCGAACAGG